rnacentral:rRNA from 1 species
GUAGUCCACGCUGUAAACGAUGUCGAUUUGGAGGUUGUGCCCUUGAGGCGUGGCUUCCGGAGCUAACGCGUUAAAUCGACCGCCUGGGGAGUACGGCCGCAAGGUUAAAACUCAAAUGAAUUGACGGGGGCCCGCACAAGCGGUGGAGCAUGUGGUUUAAUUCGAUGCAACGCGAAGAACCUUACCUACUCUUGACAUCCAGAGAACUUAGCAGAGAUGCUUUGGUGCCUUCGGGAACUCUGAGACAGGUGCUGCAUGGCUGUCGUCAGCUCGUGUUGUGAAAUGUUGGGUUAAGUCCCGCAACGAGCGCAACCCUUAUCCUUUGUUGCCAGCGGUUCGGCCGGGAACUCAAAGGAGACUGCCAGUGAUAAACUGGAGGAAGGUGGGGAUGACGUCAAGUCAUCAUGGCCCUUACGAGUAGGGCUACACACGUGCUACAAUGGCAUAUACAAAGAGAAGCGACCUCGCGAGAGCAAGCGGACCUCAUAAAGUAUGUCGUAGUCCGGAUUGGAGUCUGCAACUCGACUCCAUGAAGUCGGAAUCGCUAGUAAUCGUAGAUCAGAAUGCUACGGUGAAUACGUUCCCGGGCCUUGUACACACCGCCCGUCACACCAUGGGAAGUGGGUUGCAAAAGAAGUAGGUAGCUUAACCUUCGGGAGGGCGCUUACCACUUUGUGAUU